rnacentral:misc_RNA from 1 species
GUGCCUCCGUGCACCGAACGGUCGGCAUGCGAUCUGUGUCCCUUGUUGUGAGGUGGGUUGGUGCCUCGGAGGCCGGUUCUUGUGCUGCCUACCCUUUCGGGGGAAGGAGGACACCUUGAUGGUUUGCCUCCAUCCUGCGCCUUGCAAUGGGCGCAGGGGGAGAAUGAAGCACCCCCCGGGUUCCCACCGAGCCUUGAUCGGUCAAGUGGCCCUCGGGGUCGUGCAAUGCUCUCGGACGCAGCGCAUGUGGCGGGCGAGGACUCGUCCUCGUCCUAAGAGUAGCUUCAAUAUAAUGCAAGACGGCCGCCCUCGCCGGCCUGGCCGCUUAGGCGGUGCUGCGGCGGGGGCGACGUCGCUGAGGAUUGCUACCUGGUUGAUCCUGCCAGUAGUCAUAUGCUUGUCUCAAAGAUUAA